rnacentral:lncRNA from 1 species
UCUCCGUCCCGCUGCAGGAACGCUCUGCUUCUCUCCCAGAGUGCCUUUCACAAUGUGGAGCCAGCUCUCCGAGCAGGCCUGGGGGCCUGUGUGAACAUUUGGUGCUGCUUCCCUUCCCCCAAAACAUGAGCAGGACAGCUCGCUGCGCUCCUGCUGGGAGGUGGCGGCGGGGCAGGUGGUGCAGGCAGGGCACCUGCUGCUCUCAGGCCCUCGUCCAGCAGCCUGCUGUCCCUCCCGGAGCUCCCUCUGCUCCUUUAAGGCAGGCUGGGACGCCUCUGCUCACCCUUCAGCAGGGCAAUCAUUUACACAUCUAUCAAAACCGCAAGGAGUGGUUAGGCACCUUUCAACCCUGCCCUCUCUCUGCCUUCCCACCCCUCAUAUCACCUGGCCCGAAUCUCUUCUUCCCCUGCAGCAGGAUCCUUGUGUCGGAUCCCUGGUUUUCCAAGGAAGGACCGAAGCCAGGAGGGGAGGCAGCCGGCCUGUGCUGCUGAUCUGCCUCUGCGAUGUCUUUCCGAGCUGGGACUGCAAAGCAGCCUCCAAACUGGGCCACCUUUGUAGGACGGCCCCAGCGGGGGAGCACCCCGCUCUGGGCGCAGGCAGGACCCAACUGGGGACGGAUGGAGCCUGGCAGGGGACAGAAAACACCCCCAGGCUGCUGUCCCUGCUCCAGGUGCUCCUGCUCUGUGAGCCGUGUCGCUGCCCCGGGGUGGUGCGGGGCCAUCCACGAGGCUGCCUCCUCGCUGGGGCUGGGGGAAGCGAAGGGCCAGGGGGGCUUGGCCCUCGCUUGCCAUGCUUGUGGUGGGUGCUGAGCCAAGAUGGGGGAGGAAAACCGCCCCUCCAUGCCCCGUGACGUUGUCGUGUACAACAGGACCCCCCCGAUUUCCUUCCCCUGGCCUCUCCUGUCCCCAGGCACGGGUCACCUCCGCGCUCGCGGGGACAACGGGAAGCGACACUCCCCUGCCUGCCUUUCCUGAGCCAGCGCGGGGCGGAGGUCUCAGCGCACGGUCCCCUCGCCCUGCCAGGGGCAGGAGGAUAAAGCCAGGUUGCGGCUCGGCCGACGUUUGUGGUGAGAGAGGAGCUGCAGGAAAGGCUUCGUGGCUGCUGUGUGUGUGCGAGCCCUGGGAUUCGGGGCUGCAGCCCUUCUCCCCGCUCUGCCAGCCCCGCAGCCUUCCCUGCUCCUCUGCGCUCUCGCCCAGACAAAGCCAAACUGUCUGUACUUGUCUGUGGGGUCUGAUGGUGCUGGGGCUUUUUAAGCAAGCCGAGGAAGAAAUCCUCCCUUGUUCGCUCCGUCGAGGGGAUGGGAGCAGCUGCAGCAGGCAGGACGGGCCAGGAUCUGUUCACGUGAAUAAAGUAUUCCAUCCCGAUGCUCUCGUGUGCUCGCAGCCUGGCUCGGUUUGCAGCAGGCAAAGAAAGUCAGGGUCACGGUUACGAGCGUGCCACCGCGGCCCUGCUCGCUGCCUGCCUCCAUAGCAGCCUCGUGGUCGCAGCCGUGGCUCCAGACAGGAGGCUCGGGGCUCUGGGAUCAAAUCCACAACUGGGGCCAGCACAGCCCGGCCGUAGCAGUGCUGCAGGAGCAAGGAAACCCGCUGAAGGCAGCGAUAUCCACGGGGAAAGCUCCCUGGGAGGGCAGAACUUGGGCGUGGGGUGAGGAGCUGGAGGCCAGCGCGUGCCGUCACCUCGGCCAUCCCUCCUGCGGCCAGCAGCUCCCCGGGCCGGGGCCGUGCUGGUCCUCGCAGCCUUUCCCUGGGCAGGGGCAGCCCCGGCCUCCUCCCGGGCUGUCCCUGCGCCAGGCAGAGCGCGGCACCAGCCCCGGCCUCGCCACUGGCGCGCUUGGCCCCGUGCCGCGGCUCCGAGCCUGGGCUCGGCUCGGGGCUCACGUGGCGGCUGCUGAGUCAGCCCUCGCGCUGGGGACGCGGGGAGGGAUGGACGGGAACAAAACACCACGUGCCCGGGGGAGCCGCAGCCCUUGGCGCCGUGUUACGCGCAGGGUGAGCUGUUACCAAGCUGCUUGCACCGAGCCUGAGAUUUGACAAAAACAAAACAAAGGGGCUGGGAAACGCUCGCAUCUCCCCGACGCUCCCAAACUGGUCACGGUAACAGCAGGAGGGAGCUUUGCGAGGGGACGGUGAGACUGGGACACGCUCGGGGUGCCCCAAAUCCCCGUGGGGAUCCCCCCCCCUUAUGGUGCUGCAGGACAAUUUGUGUCCCAGGAGCAGCAGCCACGAUGGCUGUGAGCAUUUUGGGGGCCCGGAGCAGCCUCCCUGCAGCACGGCCAGCCGGGCAGGAGCUGGCCCUUGCACCAGCGAGCUUUAUGGCCGCAGGGGAUAUUGCAUGGGAAUGGAGCAGGGGGAUUUUGGAGCACCUAAAGAAGACCAGAGGCACCUAGCCCAGCCUGAUCCCAUGGCAGGCAGGUGUGUAAGCUCCCAGGUUGAGCAGAAAUCCUCCCCAUCCCACCGCCUGCCCCCAGACAGCUCCCUGCAGGCUCCCCGGCACCGAUGGGGCUGACACCAGUCCCCCCCAUUGGCACGCUGGUGAUUUGGGAACCCCGGGGCUCCCCGGUUCCUGCCAGCCCCAUAACGCUCCCGUUCUCUCUGCUCGCUUCCCUUCGGCUGAGCGAACGUGGAUGUUUUUGAGAUCUUGGAAGCAACCUGACCUGCUGGAAGCCAGCGGGCUGACGGCUCCCCGCUGUGCCGGGCUGGGUCUCCGCGUGCCGCUGCCUCUGUGGCCCGUCCCUGAGCCGUCCCCGAGCUGUCCCCAAGCUGUCCCCGAGCUGUCCCCACGCUGUCCCUGCCCAGGUGCCGGCUGUCCCAGCCCCUCUGCUCCCCGGGGACAGUUUGGAGGGGGCAGCUCCAGCCCAGGGCUCAUUUCUGGCUUCCUCCGCCAGCGCUCCCGAGCGUCCUGCGUUUUUCCUCGCUUGGGUCAUGUAUUCCUCGCCUCUCUUUCCUGAAGACGAGGAGUGAUUUACAGGGCUCCAGAAAACACAGCUUGGCUGCUUAGGAAGAGAAGAAAAAAAAAACAACAAAAAGCCAACACAAAACCACUCCGCUCGCUAUUUCCAUCGCCCGCCUUCCCACAAAGGGGCCGGCCCCGGUGCACGGCCCCGAGCGGAGCCCAGAGCCCCCCAGCCCACGCUCCUGCUGAAUUUCCGCGCAGCCGCUGCAUCCUCCGUGGGCCGGGCCCUGUGUUUCGGCACAGGGGGCAACCAGCGCUGCCCAGCUCCCGGCCCCGGCCGCCUGAACGGGCCCCUUGUGCUCUCGGCCCCGAACAAGGCAGCGAUUGUGUGCGCCUGCCCCAGCGCUCUGUUACGGGGUCCAUCCCGGCUCCGCAUCGCCACCGCGGGCUGCAGAGGAAUAGGAAAAUGGCUUUUCUCCCCCCCCAGGGAAAAGCUGCCAGCUCUGCCGUUUUGGUCCCCAACACCAUCCUGGGGUCUCAGCCCUGUUGGGAAGGAGCAGGGCUGGGUUUAACCUCAUGAAAAGGGCUCUGCCUCUCGUCCCCGCGGCUGAAAACCUGCCCGACGCCACGGAAAGGCACGGGGAUAAAGCCUUGUUGUGAUCCUGUUGGGUCCCGUGAUAUUACAAGCCAAGAGAAAUGCCCUCAUUAUUUCCCGAAUAUUGAAGUCUAAUAAAUCCCCUACUGCCUUAUAGGAUUUAUUUAUC